CUUUACUCGACAACAUUAUGCUAUUUUAUAAUAGAGCCAGUACAUUAGUUAAUGAUCUUCUUGAAAUAUUGCCAAAUCAAGGUUUGGAACUUCCCAAAGAUUCAAGGAGAAUUUUAAAAGCACCUUAUGAAAAGUGACUUAUAGACAGGAGCGUCAACUACAUCAAGUGUCAGUUGAUAUAUAUGUUUUGGUCAAAUACAUGUUUGUAUUUGCUCCAAAAUUUGAAAGUCUGUGAUACAAAGUUUCGCUUUUCCCAAAACAAAGUUAAAGAAAAUUUAUGAAGUCAAUGAUAAAUCUUAAAGUUUUACAAAGAAUAAUGCAAGUAAUAUUUUUUCUUGUAAUAACUAUCUUGGAAGUUAUUUUAAUCUAGGCCUUUUAUCUUUAUAAAUUAAUUUUUUAAUACUUCUCAAUACUCAAAAUAGGUACCUAGUCAAUUCAGCAAGA